rnacentral:rRNA from 1 species
UACGGAGAGUGCAAACGUUGUUCGGAUUCACUGGGCGUAAAGGGCACGUAGGCGGCUUGGCAAAUCGGUCGUGGAAUCCCGACGCUUACCGUCGGAACGGCGGCCGAAAAUACCGGGCUCGAGGGCGUGAGGGGUCACUGGAACUCCUGGUGAAGCGGUGAAAUGCGUAGAUAUCAGGAGGAACGCCGGAGGCGAAAGCGAGUGACUGGCGCGUUCCUGACGCUGAGGUGCGAAAGCUAGGGGAGCAAACAGG